ACACUGAUGCAUUACAGCACAGGUGGAGCCUGGUGUGCAGGCUGCGCCACCUUGUGGUGGAUGUUACCAGCUGCUCUUUAUGGAAAAUCUGACACUGUGUGUUUUAACAGUCUGGUUGAAGUUUUUUCUGCAGGUAGUGAUGUAAAGUAAAACCAUUUAAACCAUUUUUACUCUGUUGUAUUUUCUCAGUUGUGGAGGAAAUACUCAGAUCCUUUACUUCAUUAAAAUAGUGAAACAACAGUGUAAAAACACGAGUACAAGUAAAAGUCCUGCAUUGAAAAUAUUACUUUAGUGAAAGUACUCUCAUCAAAAUAUAUAUUUAUAUUAAUUAUAAUUAUUGAUGUAUCAAAGGAUAAGUUCACCCAAAAUGUUUUUUUUUUUUUUUUUUUUUUUGCGCUGGCAUCGACACGGAUUGUUGUAUUCUGAAAAGUAACCGGAUGUUAUGAUGUUGUUUCCGCGUGUAACUUCCGGUCUAGAAUCCCCGAUACUAACUGCCGGAAACCGCCGAGGGAGUCCGAGUCCUCGCGAGCAGCGGGAGUAUGAGGUCAUCGUUUUCAUCACAACAGAUCCACCUGCUCCUAGCUAAGCAGUUAUAAUCAUUCAAGCCAGUGAAGUUAAUCAUUGCGCGAAGAUCACCACAGUCUUCUCCUCCAAAUGCUCCAUCAGGCUGCCCUUUGGCCCACUGCAACCUACAGACAGAACAAAGCAUCCUGUGUGACUGAGCGCACUGUUCAGAUCAACGUGGCAGCAGAUUUGCAUGAACAGACUAGAAUAUUUGAGGAUAAUUGUCUAUAUGUUCAUCAAUCUCACCUGUCUUUGUUCACUGGUGUCCCAUCAACCCACAUCCAAGAUCCUUCCUCCUCCCUGUCCGUCAUACCAACCCACGCUGCCAUAGUGAAUCCAGUGAGGAAGGCCUGGAAGAAAUCAACAUCCUCAUAAACAACAGCCUCAGAUAGACACACACUGUCACACUGAAUAAAAAUAUGCCCUUGGGAAUGAA